rnacentral:rRNA from 1 species
UGAGCAACCUGCCCUCGACCCCGGAAUAACAGCUGGAAACAGCUGCUAAUACCGGAUACGACCUCCGAUGGCAUCAUCUGGAGGUGGAAAGCUCAGACGGUCAAGGAUGGGCUCGCGGCCUAUCAGCUAGUUGGUGUGGGUAACGGCCCACCAAGGCGACGACGGGUAGCCGGCCUGAGAGGGUGACCGGCCACACUGGGACUGAGACACGGCCCAGACUCCUACGGGAGCAG